rnacentral:rRNA from 1 species
UACGUAGGGCGCAAGCGUUGUCCGGAAUUAUUGGGCGUAAAGAGCUCGUAGGUGGCUUGUCACGUCUGCCCGUGAAAGCCCAUGGCUUAACUGUGGGGUCUGCGGUGGAUACGGGCUGGCUAGAGGUAGGUAGGGGGCAAGCGGAAUUCCUGGUGUAGCGGUGAAAUGCGCAGAUAUCAGGAGGAACACCGGUGGCGAAGGCGGGGUCUCUGGGCCGAUACUGACACUGAGAAGCGAAAGCGUGGGGAGCGAACAGG